UAUCUUUAAUUUAACGCAUCAAAGUCUUAUAUUAUUAUAGUUGGUUUUCCAACUAUGACGAUAAACGAGAUUCGUAAUAAACAUUGAGGACCAGGGGGCGGUACCCUG
rnacentral:tmRNA from 1 species